rnacentral:misc_RNA from 1 species
UAAUCUAUCACCCACCUUUUGGUGAAGUGGACUUGGACUGUGCUGUCAUUUAUUUGACGGCUCGUCUCGAAAUGCAUUGUUGCCUGCAGAGUCUUGCGCGGAGCGAGACUGAUGAAACGGUGUGAUAUUUAUAUCUGCGCUGAAGUAGUCGGUUUUGAGCUGCUGCACCAGAAGCACUCUGGGCUUAUAAAAUCGAGGAUUUUAAUUAAUCCCCAAUUUCUUUGC